rnacentral:rRNA from 1 species
UACGAAGGGGGCUAGCGUUGUUCGGAAUUACUGGGCGUAAAGGGCGCGUAGGCGGCGUGUCAAGUCAGGCGUGAAAAGCCCCGGGCUCAACCUGGGAAUGGCAUUCGAGACUGUGUAGCUAGGAUGCGGAAGAGGGAAGCGGAAUUUCCGGUGUAGCGGUGAAAUGCGUAGAUAUCGGAAGGAACACCAGUGGCGAAAGCGGCUUCCUGGUCCAGCAUCGACGUUCAGGCACGAAAGCGUGGGGAGCAAACAGG